CUGAAACAGCCACUGUAACCCCUAAUCACAACCCCGAAGGCUGGACAUCAAAUGCUGCAACGUUGAAAACAGAUGAUCAGAGACUGGGGCCAUCAGAGCAGACAGCUGAGAGGCAGGAAGACACGAUUUGGCACAGGAGUGAGACAAUGAGACUGUUAGACCGGCACGCCCUCAGUGUAAAACACCUACCUGUUGGGACGCCCUCCUGCUUGGGGCAGAUUCCUCUGGCGGGCGUCAGUCGUUUUUCCUCCUCCUCUCCUGGCGUGACCUGGAUCCCAACCUCCACCGGUCCAGAC